ensembl:lncRNA
CUUCCUCACUGUUCAAUUUUGGUAUUCAAUGCUACAGCAUCUUUUCAGCCUUACACAAGUUUAGCAAUUUCUUUGUGAUUAUGGAUCAUUAAAAGCAGUGUUCAUUCAUAAAAAAUAAGCACUUAACAUUUUGCAAUCUCUAAAUAUACUUCAGUGAAAUAUACAGCAUCCUUUUUGGCCCCCAAAGACUAUAAAAGCAUCUUCACUCACAGAUAUUUAAAAGAAGGGCUAAAAAUAUUCAAGAAAAUUACAGUGCUUUAAGUGUUAAAAAGUAAAACACAUUUCAGCAUGCAAACGAACAAGAGUUUCACUCCAAAAUGCUUCGCUCCUGUGUCAAGGGACAUAAACACAUGGUGUGAACAAGUGGCAAUGUUUAGGGAAAUACUGCAAAACUAAAUCUUUUCCAUGUAGGCCAAAAUGACUUAUCAGCCAAGCUACUGGAUCAGGCAACUAUUUUUCUAUAUCAUAUUUUUAUGAAUGUGAGGAACUUAUAAACUCAAGGGCAGAACAAAUGCAGACACUAGCACUUAACCUAGGCAAACAGAAACAUGGAAGGAAGCAUCAUGGGAGGUGAAUAGGUUAGGCUUUCUUUCUUCUGUCAUCCCCUUACCAUUUGGAUGUUUCCAUCCUCCAUUCUGAGAAAUUAUGUGUUCCCCUGCAAUGAAGAGAGGUUUCGUCUCCUUUCAGCUAUCACAUUCACCUCGUUCAGAAGGUUUGCUUUGCCCAAAUCCUUUGACAGGGAGUGAGUGAAAUCUCAGCCCCAUUGAAGUCAGUGGGAAAUUUGCCAUUCACUAUAAGGGAGCCAGGAUUUUGCACAACGUUUAUAUCAGUAGAAGACCAGACUGAAUCUAGUGCAGUGUUUGUGAAGUGCUUUGAAGUAGAGAGUGUUACAGCACUGAAAUUAUUGCUAUUAUUAUUAUUGCUGCUUAGUGCACGACAGAGAAGAAAGGAAGAAAACCUCUGAAUGAACUGGAAGGAAAUACUGAUUCUGCAGAUCUUAGAGAUUCCUCAUGUUUCCAGUUUUGUCUGAGCAAGUUGCUGCAGUUGAGCACUCUGGCACCCUGUAAGUUGUAACACAGUUCAGCCCUUGUUUGGCAGCAGUGAUGGAGGAAGAUCUGAGCAGGACAAAGGAGGAGCAGCAGCAUCUGUGGUGGCACUCGCUACCACUGAGGAGAAUUAGUCUUGCAAGCAAGUAGAACUGCACCUCACAUCAAAUCUGGACGUGCUGAGGUUCAUUGAAAGUCUCAG